UCUUAUGGAUAAGCAAAGAAAGUUGUUUCUUGAGACAGAAUCUACUCCUAAUGAAGUUGCUGUGAA
rnacentral:pre_miRNA from 3 species